rnacentral:ncRNA from 1 species
ACGAAUCAGCUCUGUGCAAAUGGUACCGGUGAAACAUUGUACGGAGC